CGAAGGUGGCAAGCGUUGUUCGGAUUUACUGGGCGUACAGGGAGCGUAGGCGGUUGGAUAAGCCCUCCGUGAAAUCUCCAGGCUUAACCUGGAAAGUGCAGAGGGGACUGUUCAGCUAGAGGAUGGGAGAGGAGCGCGGAAUUCCCGGUGUAGCGGUGAAAUGCGUAGAGAUCGGGAGGAAGGCCGGUGGCGAAGGCGGCGCUCUGGAACAUUUCUGACGCUGAGGCUCGAAAGCGUGGGGAGCAAACAGGAUUAGAUACCCUGGUAGUCCACGCCUUAAACGAUGGAUACUAAGUGUCGGCGGGUUACCGCCGGUGCCGCAGCUAACGCAGCAAGUAUCCCGCCUGGGAAGUACGGCCGCAAGGUUG
rnacentral:rRNA from 1 species